AUUGAACGCUGGCGGCAGGCCUAACACAUGCAAGUCGAGCGGAUGAAGGGAGCUUGCUCCUGGAUUCAGCGGCGGACGGGUGAGUAAUGCCUAGGAAUCUGCCUGGUAGUGGGGGAUAACGUCCGGAAACGGGCGCUAAUACCGCAUACGUCCUGAGGGAGAAAGUGGGGGAUCUUCGGACCUCACGCUAUCAGAUGAGCCUAGGUCGGAUUUGCUAGUUGGUGGGGUAAAGGCCUACCAAGGCGACGAUCCGUAACUGGUCUGAGAGGAUGAUCAGUCACACUGGAACUGAGACACGGUCCAGACUCCUACGGGAGGCAGCAGUGGGGAAUAUUGGACAAAGGGCGAAAGCCUGAUCCAGCCAUGCCGCGUGUGUGAAGAAGGUCUUCGGAUUGUAAAGCACUUUAAGUUGGGAGGAAGGGCAGUAAGUUAAUACCUUGCUGUUUUGACGUUACCAACAGAAUAAGCACCGGCUAACUUCGUG
rnacentral:rRNA from 1 species